GACUUGAUGGUGUAGUGCUAACGCUUGCUCAAAAUAUCAUCAACGUCCAUUUAAGCGGGAGCCCCUCGUUCGAACCGGGGUCAGGUCU